UACGUAGGCAGCGAGCGUUGUUCGGAGUUACGUGGGCGUAAAGGGUGUGUAGGCGGUUGUUUAAGUUUGGUGUGAAAUCUCCCGGCUCAACCGGGAGGGUGCGCCGAAUACUGAAUGACUUCGAGUGCGGGAGAGGAGAGUGGAAUUCCUGGUGUAGCGGUGAAAUGCGUAGAUAUCAGGAGGAACACCGGUGGUGUAGACGGCUCUCUGGACCGUAACUGACGCUGAGACACGAAAGCGUGGGUAGCAAACAGG
rnacentral:rRNA from 1 species